rnacentral:lncRNA from 1 species
UUAUUUGCCUCAUUUUUCAACUUCAUGAUAAAGAUCUUCAUAACUUGUUUUUGUGAAAUGUUGCUCUCUUUUGCUCUUUCUGAAAUUAUGCCUAAAGAACUGUUACUCUUCUUUUUCUUUCUGAAAUUGGCCGUAACUAUUGUUACUGAUUUGUGGAACUGUUUUCAUGCUACCUGGGUGUGAUGAAUAAAAUCUGGGUUGGUUUUCCUGUGUUUGGUAAGGUUGAAUUUGUUUAUUAUGUCUACUCUUUAAAACAAAAUAAUACACUUUAUAUGUAGUUAUAUAUAUGUGUUGACUAGGCUCACGUUGUAUUUACCUUGUGACUAUUCAAUUGUAAAGGAUGACUAGUUUUAAGGAAAGGAUCCUCUUUAAAGUUUUCCAUGGAGUAUGUGGCUCACUGGUCUUUGCUUUGUCUUAUAAUUGGAAACUUCUGGUUGGUUUCUGUGGUGGUCAGUACUCAGGAAUCUCUUAUUCAGGCGAAACCUUUCAUGCACCAUUGACAGCAUGUUUUUUCACUGGUUAUUGGGAGACCAUUCACAUUAUGUUUUUACUUUUGUUGCCAGGUCCUUAGUGCUUAAUUUCAUGAAGAGAUGAAUCUUGGAAGGAUGUUCAGAAUAAAAGGCAGUGAAACUUUUGUAACUGUCAUAUACCUGGAUUUUAUACUUAUCUGAAACCUCUAUUUUGUUGCCUGAUGUGGACGAUUAUCUGCAUGACUGCACAGCCAUAUAAAUUUUUAGUCCCAUGUUUUGUGCUUCUUGGAUCUUCAGUGCUUAAUAUCGUUCAUAAUCAUGACAUAAUGGCAUGGGUAAACUUGACCUUCGGCCAACCCGUGG